GAUGAACGCUGGCGGCGUGCCUAAUACAUGCAAGUCGAGCGAACAGAUGAGGAGCUUGCUCCUCUGACGUUAGCGGCGGACGGGUGAGUAAAACGUGGAUAACCUACCUAUAAGACUGGGAUAACUUCGGGAAACCGGAGCUAUUACCGGAUAAUAUAUUUAACCGCAUGGUUCAAUAGUGAAAGACGGUUUUGCUGUCACUUAUAGAUGGAUCCGCGCCGCAUUAGCUAGUUGGUAAGGUAACGGCUUACCAAGGCAACGAUGCGUAGCCGACCCGGGAGGGUGAUCGGCACAACUGGAACUGAAACACGGUCCAGACUCCUACGGGAGGCAGAAGUGGGAAAUCUUCGGCAAGGGGCGAAAGCUUGACGGAGAAACGCCGCGGGGGUGAUGAAGGUUUUCGGAUCUUAAAACUCUGUCAUUAGGGAAGAACGAAUGCGUAAGUAACUAUGCACGUCUUGACGGUACCUAAAUAGAAAGCCACGGCUAACUACGUG
rnacentral:rRNA from 1 species